rnacentral:rRNA from 1 species
AUGCUUACAAAAAGUAGGAGCCCGCAAGGGUGACUGCGUACCUUUUGUAUAAUGGGUCAGCGACUUAUAUUCUGUAGCAAGGUUAACCGUAUAGGGGAGCCGAAGGGAAACCGAGUCUUAACCGGGCGUUAAGUUGCAGGGUAUAGACCCGAAACCCGGUGAUCUAGCCAUGGGCAGGUUGAAGGUGCGGUAACACGCACUGGAGGGCCGAACCGUU